rnacentral:misc_RNA from 1 species
GAAAAAUUAUUGUAAGAAAUAUCGGUUGCACUUUUUCUAGGUCUGGUUGUGAUCCAGUUCGGGAUGGCUCCAGUUAGCAAGUUGUUUGCCAAACAGAUUGCCAGGUUAUCAUUAUUAAUUGUUGGAACUGGAAGAUUCCCAGUCAAUCUAUUGAAACUAAGAUCCAGAAUUUUCAGACUUCCCAUAUUUAGUAUAUAGUCGGGAAAAGGUCCAGAUAUAUUGCAGUUC